UAGGCAGGGGGCUAGCGAUGCUCGGAAUGACUGGGCGUAAAGGGGGCGUAGGCGGCUUACAUAGUUAGGCGUGAAAUUCCUGGGGUCAACCUGGUGACUGAGUCUAAUACAUGUAGGCUUGCGUUUGAAAGAGGGUCGUGGAAUUUCCAGUGUAGAGGGUGAAUUCGUAGAUAUUGGAAAGAACACCGGUGGCGAAGGCGGCGACCUGGUUCAUUACUGACGCUGAGUCGCGAAAUCGUGGGUAGCAAACAGG
rnacentral:rRNA from 1 species